rnacentral:rRNA from 1 species
GAGUUUGAUCAUGGCUCAGGAUGAACGCUGGCGGCGUGCCUAAUACAUGCAAGUCGAGCGAACAGACGGGGAGCUUGCUCCCCUGACGUUAGCGGCGGACGGGUGAGUAACACGUGGGUAACCUACCUAUAAGACUGGGAAUAACUCCGGGAAACCGGGGCUAAUGCCGGAUAACAUGUUGGACCGCAUGGUCCUACAGUGAAAGACGGUCUUGCUGUCACUUAUAGGUGGACCCGCGCCGUAUUAGCUAGUUGGUAAGGUAACGGCUUACCAAGGCAACGAUACGUAGCCGACCUGAGAGGGUGAUCGGCCACACUGGAACUGAGACACGGUCCAGACUCCUACGGGAGGCAGCAGUAGGGAAUCUUCCGCAAUGGGCGAAAGCCUGACGGAGCAACGCCGCGUGAGUGAUGAAGGCCUU